GACGAACGCUGGCGGCGUGCUUAACACAUGCAAGUCGAACGGAAAGGCCCUGCUUUUGUGGGGUGCUCGAGUGGCGAACGGGUGAGUAACACGUGAGUAACCUGCCCUUGACUUUGGGAUAACUUCAGGAAACUGGGGCUAAUACCGGAUAGGAGCUCCUGCUGCAUGGUGGGGGUUGGAAAGUUUCGGCGGGUGGGGUUGGACUCGCGGCUUAUCAGCUUGUUGGUGGGGUAGUGGCUUACCAAGGCUUUGACGGGUAGCCGGCCUGAGAGGGUGACCGGCCACAUUGGGACUGAGAUACGGCCCAGACUCCUACGGGAGGCAACAGUGGGGAAUAUGGCACAAUGGGCGGAAGCCUGAUGCAGCAACGCCGCGUGCGGGAUGACGGCCUUCGGGUGGUAAACCGCUUUCGCCUGUGACGAAGCGUGAGUGACGGUAAUGGGGAAAGAAGCACCGGCUAACUACGU
rnacentral:rRNA from 1 species